rnacentral:rRNA from 1 species
UACGUAGGGUGCAAGCGUUAAUCGGAAUUACUGGGCGUAAAGCGUGCGCAGGCGGUGAUGUAAGACAGAUGUGAAAUCCCCGGGCUCAACCUGGGAACUGCACUUGUGACUGCAUCGCUGGAGUGCGGCAGAGGGGGAUGGAAUUCCGCGUGUAGCAGUGAAAUGCGUAGAUAUGCGGAGGAACACCGAUGGCGAAGGCAAUCCCCUGGACCUGUACUGACGCUCAUGCACGAAAGCGUGGGGAGCAAACAGG